GACGAACGCUGGCGGCGUGCUUAACACAUGCAAGUCGAACGGAAAGGCCCUGCUUUUGUGGGGUGCUCGAGUGGCGAACGGGUGAGUAACACGUGAGUAACCUGCCCUUGACUUUGGGAUAACUUCAGGAAACUGGGGCUAAUACCGGAUAGGAGCUCCUGCUGCAUGGUGGGGGUUGGAAAGUUUCGGCGGUUGGGGAUGGACUCGCGGCUUAUCAGCUUGUUGGUGGGGUAGUGGCUUACCAAGGCUUUGACGGGUAGCCGGCCUGAGAGGGUGACCGGCCACAUUGGGACUGAGAUACGGCCCAGACUCCUACGGGAGGCAGCAGUGGGGAAUAUUGCACAAUGGGCGGAAGCCUGAUGCAGCAACGCCGCGUGCGGGAUGACGGCCUUCGGGUUGUAAACCGCUUUCGCCUGUGACGAGGCGUGAGUGACGGUAAUGGGUAAAGAAGCACCGGCUAACUACGUGCCAGCAGCCGCGGUGAUACGUAGGGUGCGAGCGUUGUCCGGAUUUAUUGGGCGUAAAGGGCUCGUAGGUGGUUGAUCGCGUCGGAAGUGUAAUCUUGGGGCUUAACCCUGAGCGUGCUUUCGAUACGGGUUGACUUGAGGAAGGUAGGGGAGAAUGGAAUUCCUGGUGGAGCGGUGGAAUGCGCAGAUAUCAGGAGGAACACCAGUGGCGAAGGCGGUUCUCUGGGCCUUUCCUGACGCUGAGGAGCGAAAGCGUGGGGAGCGAACAGGCUUAGAUACCCUGGUAGUCCACGCUGUAAACGGUAGGUACUAGGUGUGGGGUCCAUUCCACGGGUUCCGUGCCGUAGCUAACGCUUUAAGUACCCCGCCUGGGGAGUACGGCCGCAAGGCUAAAACUCAAAGGAAUUGACGGGGCCCCGCACAAGCGGCGGAGCAUGCGGAUUAAUUCGAUGCAACGCGUAGAACCUUACCUGGGUUUGACAUGGAUCGGGAGCGCUCAGAGAUGGGUGUGCCUCUUUUGGGGUCGGUUCACAGGUGGUGCAUGGCUGUCGUCAGCUCGUGUCGUGAGAUGUUGGGUUAAGUCCCGCAACGAGCGCAACCCUUGUUCACUGUUGCCAGCACGUUAUGGUGGGGACUCAGUGGAGACCGCCGGGGUCAACUCGGAGGAAGGUGGGGAUGACGUCAAGUCAUCAUGCCCCUUAUGUCCAGGGCUUCACGCAUGCUACAAUGGCUGGUACAGAGAGUGGCGAGCCUGUGAGGGUGAGCGAAUCUCGGAAAGCCGGUCUCAGUUCGGAUUGGGGUCUGCAACUCGACCUCAUGAAGUCGGAGUCGCUAGUAAUCGCAGAUCAGCAACGCUGCGGUGAAUACGUUCCCGGGGCU
rnacentral:rRNA from 1 species